GGCUGGUUAGCUCAGUUGUUUGAGUGUUGUGCUAAUAACGCCAAGGUCGAGGGUUCGAUCCCCGCACGGGCCG